rnacentral:rRNA from 1 species
UAGGGAAUCUUCCACAAUGGACGCAAGUCUGAUGGAGCAACGCCGCGUGAGUGAAGAAGGUUUUCGGAUCGUAAGGCUCUGUUGUUGGUGAAGAAGGAUAGAGGCAGUAACUGGUCUUUAUUUGACGGUAAUCAACCAGAAAGUCACGGCUAACUACGUGCCAGCAGCCGCGGUAAUACGUAGGUGGCAAGCGUUGUCCGGAUUUAUUGGGCGUAAAGCGAGCGCAGGCGGAAUGAUAAGUCUGAUGUGAAAGCCCACGGCUCAACCGUGGAACUGCAUCGGAAACUGUCAUUCUUGAGUGCAGAAGAGGAGAGUGGAACUCCAUGUGUAGCGGUGGAAUGCGUAGAUAUAUGGAAGAACACCAGUGGCGAAGGCGGCUCUCUGGUCUGCAACUGACGCUGAGGCUCGAAAGCAUGGGUAGCGAACAGGAUUAGAUACCCUGGUAGUCCAUGCCGUAAACGAUGAGCGCUAGGUGUUGGGGACUUUCCGGUCCUCAGUGCCGCAGCAAACGCAUUAAGCGCUCCGCCUGGGGAGUACGACCGCAAGGUUGAAAC